rnacentral:pre_miRNA from 1 species
AUCAGAAUCACCUAGAGGACUUAUUAAAACACAGGUGGCUGCUCCCCAUUCCCAGAGUUCCUGGUUCAGUCUGUCUGGAGUGGAGCCUGAGUACUUGCAUUUUUAACAAGUUCCCAGGUAAUGCUGAU